AUUGAACGCUGGCGGCAGGCUUAACACAUGCAAGUCGAGCGAGCGGCGGACGGGUGAGUAAUGUAUGGGAAACUGCCUGGUGGAGGGGGAUAACUACUGGAAACGGUAGCUAAUACCGCAUACCAUCAGAGGUGCCCAGAUGGGAUUAGCUAGUAGGUGGGGUAAUGGCUCACCUAGGCGACGAUCCCUAGCUGGUCUGAGAGGAUGACCAGCCACACUGGAACUGAGACACGGCCCAGACUCCUACGGGAGGCAGCAGUGGGGAAUAUUGGACAAUGGGCGCAAGCCUGAUGCAGCCAUGCCGCGUGUAUGAAGAAGGCCUUCGGGUUGUAAAGCACUUUCAGCGAGGAGGCGUUACCUGCAGAAGAAGCACCGGCUAACUCCGUGCCAGCAGCCGCGGUAAUAC
rnacentral:rRNA from 1 species